AGAGGGGACAACCACUGCUUGAGCUUUCCUUGCUUUGUCUCCUGGUAGCCUCCUGUUCCAGAAUAACAGGUUGCCCAGGCCCUCAGCCAAACAAGACUGGACACCAUGGAAAGCAGGUUCGAGGACGUUGAGAGGAAAUUCUGGAGGCAGCAGUGAUGGAAUUCCACAUUCCAGUGGAAUUGGGCGGUGGCAGCAGCCUCC